rnacentral:misc_RNA from 1 species
UCCGAUUUGUCACCGGCAGUCUCCCAUGAGUCCCCGACAUAACUCGCUGGCAACAUGGGACAAGGGUUGCGCUCGUUGCGGGACUUAACCCAACAUCUCACGACACGAGCUGACGACAGCCAUGCAGCACCUGUGUUCAGGUUCUCUUUCGAGCACAUCACCAUCUCUGGCGACUUCCUGACAUGUCAAGGGUAGGUAAGGUUUUUCGCGUUGCAUCGAAUUAAUCCACAUCAUCCACCGCUUGUGCGGGUCCCCGUCAAUUCCUUUGAGUUUUAAUCUUGCGACUGUACUCCCCAGGCGGUCUACUUCACGCGUUAGCUGCGUUACCAAGUUAAUUAAAACCCGACAACUAGUAGACAUCGUUUAGGGCGUGGACUAC